GAUGAACGCUGGCGGCGUGCUUAACACAUGCAAGUCGAACGGUGAACGAGGGAGCUUGCUCCCUCCGGAUCAGUGGCGAACGGGUGAGUAACACGUGAGCAAUCUGCCCUGGACUCUGGGAUAAGCGUUGGAAACGACGUCUAAUACCGCAUGGUGAAUUUCUGGAAAGAUUUUUUGGUCUGGGAUGGGCUAACGGCCUAUCAGCUUGUUGGUGAGGUAAUGGCUCACCAAGGCGUCGACGGGUAGCCGGCCUGAGAGGGUGACCGGCCACACUGGGACUGAGACACGGCCCAGACUCCUACGGGAGGCAGCAGUGGGGAAUAUUGCACAAUGGGCGGAAGCCUGAUGCAGCAACGCCGCGUGAGGGAUGACGGCCUUCGGGUUGUAAACCUCUUUUAGCAGGGAAGAAGCGAAAGUGACGGUACCUGCAGAAAAAGCGCCGGCUAACUACGUGCCAGCCGCCGCAGUAAAAC
rnacentral:rRNA from 1 species